rnacentral:lncRNA from 1 species
ACCCUUUUGCUGUGAAGAUACACAAUUCUCAAUCCUUUUUUCUGAGCCACAGAAAAUCUUAUCUUUCAGCUGGUGACACUUUUAGGAUAAAGACUUUUUUCCCUUAGGGGAACCUCAGAGCUUAUCUAAUAAGGACUCCCUGGUUCAAACUUCCAAGAUCUGUAUAGGAAAUAGCUAGGGAUUUCCAUUUCCCUCUGUCCUCAUCACUCUUCAACCCUUUAUACCUAAAUAAAUAGACAUCUCGAUUUUUAAUACAGACUUCAAUUAGUUUCAAUGUGUUAGGAGGGGAACUUCAAAGAACAUCAUUUAAAGAAGGAAGACUGAGGGGAAAUUAACUUACCCUUUCAGUCCAGUCAGAACUGACUCCAUUUGUUAACAGCACAACUUAGGGGAAAAAGGAGGAAGGAAGUGGUAUUAUUUUAUAUUUAUUCCCCAAGUAGCUGACAACUUCGGUUCCUUCUCAAUUUCCCCACUAAUACAGGGUACUCCAUGAACUCCAAAGCUACAGUAGACCAGAGAUGAUUCUAGGAUUGUAUGGAGUCCCCCAUCUCUGCUCCAGAGGAAAUCUAAUAGCAACUUCAUUAGCAUACCAAAGAAUCUUAGCAGUAGAUAGAAAGCAAACAAGGACAGAUCUAACCAUCAGAAGCAACUGGACUUGAAUCUUCAGGCUGAACCAAGAAAGAGGCAUACCACACCAGACUGGGCUGACAAGCUCCUUCCUCCUCCAACACCAGGCAGCCAGUCCCCAGCUGGCAGGAAGGAAGUGCUAGUCACAAGACCCAACUGCCACUCCCAGUUGGGCCCUUCCUCCACAAACUGUCAGUCUUGUUUCCUUUCCACAAUAUGGCUAUGACAGGACAUGCCUGAAAUUUUCACUUUGCAGAUUAUUUGGUUAUCAUUAUCCAAGCAUUGCCUUUUGUCAUUCUCUGAUAAAAAUCUAUUGUUGUAAAAUAUUUUAGGGGAGUUAGCUUUCCAUUUUCUUACUAGGUAAGGUGUAUUCUGUUUGAACUUAGCUUCAUGAAUUACAGCCUGGCUCUAACUCAAUUAAGGAACCUUAACAGACUUUAUGACCUUCAAAUGAAAAACAAAAAAGGAAUUUGCCAGUGACACAAAUCUACUAAAUGGC